AUGGUGAGCCUAAUCAUGUGCGUUCUCCUCAUCAGGAUGACGUGGCUGCUCACCCUCCUGACCCUCGGUUCAGUAGUAAUCGUGGUCCUCCCAGAAGUAGUCGAAUUAGGACCAGACUCGGGAAUCGUCCUCAAGGAUCAGGCUGGACUUUUGAUUACUAACUGCCGUCUGCACACACAGAAAGUGUUUGUCAGACUGAAUCCCCGGGAGGUGUGUCGGAAACAUGUACCGACCACAGCCAAACUCACCGGUUGGGCAGGCCAAAGGUGGAGCAGGGAGGUAUUAGAACACGCUGAGGCAGACACCACUCACAUGUUGCAACAGUUGCAGAAAUUCACUAUCACUCAGUCAGAGUUAAGUGGGUUUAGACGCUUCAUUGCAGGACUCCUAACAGCAGCAGCCGUUGUCGUAACACUUUUCAACCUGGGAUUCUCUACAGUCAAUGCGGUUAGUUUAGCUACCGUAAGACGUCACAUGGGCGAGUUACAGGCUGAAAUACCAGAUCUCAGAGCAGAAAUUUUCCAGCAACAGGAAGAGCUACAAACGAUAGGACAGUCACUCAAAGGCACCAUUCUGGUGGUUAAUACCCACAGUGAAGUCCUUAAUAAAACAAUCAGCGCGGUAAACUCUCUCCUCUCUGUAGUCUCGAUCGAUCAUGCCCACACACAACUGGUCAGCAUGUUAAUGAAUGAUAUGUUGCGUGACAUUGGAUCCUCAGUGGACAGCUUAGCUAUGGGUAAAAUUCCUCCAUAUCUUAUUCCAUUGUCUUUGGUGCAAAGCAUUCUGUCCACCACCACCAGAGAUGCAGUCACGCCCAUUCAAGCUCACUUAGCUUACACGCUGGGUAGUGCGGUUCCAAUAUUUGUCAACCCAGAAGAAAGAGAAAUAGGUUUCAUCAUCAAUCUGCCAAUAAUCGCGGCAGAAAACAUUUACCGGCUUAAAGAUGUGGUAAAUGUUGGAUUUUGGCAAGGCGACGUCCACGUUAAAGUGCAGACCCCGUCUCUCAUUGUCUAUCAUGAUAACAACCCUGAAUUAUAUUUGGCCCCAAAUAUGCGCAUGUGCACCCUCACAAAAGACAUACAUUACCUAUGUCCAAGUAAACCUUUCAUUAGGGACAACACUGACGGAAUCUGUGGACUCAAACCCAUGUCAGCUGACUCCCGUUGCUCAACUCAAGUCACGCCUCGAUCCCAAGUAAUUCAGACCCAAGCUGAGAUUAUAGGAGGUCGCUGGUUGGUUAACACCCCAGUGAGAACUGCUACCCUGACAUACGAUCAACACGACACUGCUACUUGUAUAACAUUGCCCGAUCAGACUCUAUGGAUUGACGUGCCAGAAAAUGCUAUUCUGCACAUAGAAGAUCUAGCUCUUUAUCAUCUGAACCAAGAUCAGUAUGAAAGCGAAAUCGAAGUGUCUGAGUUUUUCAGUAAACACACCCUAGAGUUAAACCCAAACACACUAACCCAAAUACAGUACGAAGGUACCCAGACCAUCGACCUUACCCCUAUCGAUAAUGUGCUCAAGGAAAUAGUCUCCAAAGGCACCGGCCCCAGUCAACCCAUCACUUACGCUUGGUCCACUCCGGACACCGUCUUAGCUUUCGUCGUAGCAUUAGGAUAUUUAUUGACUUUCGGCAUCGCUUUCUUCUAUCUCAAGCGCACCAGAGCCUUACAGUGUAAACUCAACAGAUUUACAAAUAGCUUAGCUAGGAUAGCCAGAGGCAGAAGGUCGACACCAAACCAUCCUGAUACCGGAUUCGAGGUAGCUGAGGAUGAAAGUGAGAGUAGUGAAUGGUUUGUAACACUGUCUCCAGCAGUCUUGGAGAUAGUCACCGAACAUAAUGUUUUAAACUAG
rnacentral:lncRNA from 15 species